CGCUGGCGGCGUGCCUAAUACAUGCAAGUCGAGCGGACAGAAGGGAGCUUGCUCCCGGAUGUUAGCGGCGGACGGGUGAGUAACACGUGGGUAACCUGCCUGUAAGACUGGGAUAACUCCGGGAAACCGGAGCUAAUACCGGAUAGUUCCUUGAACCGCAUGGUUCAAGGAUGAAAGACGGUUUCGGCUGUCACUUACAGAUGGACCCGCGGCGCAUUAGCUAGUUGGUGAGGUAACGGCUCACCAAGGCGACGAUGCGUAGCCGACCUGAGAGGGUGAUCGGCCACACUGGGACUGAGACACGGCCCAGACUCCUACGGGAGGCAGCAGUAGGGAAUCUUCCGCAAUGGACGAAAGUCUGACGGAGCAACGCCGCGUGAGUGAUGAAGGUUUUCGGAUCGUAAAGCUCUGUUGUUAGGGAAGAACAAGUGCAAGAGUAACUGCUUGCACCUUGACGGUACCUAACCAGAAAGCCACGGCUAACUACGUGCCAGCAGCCGCGGUAAUACGUAGGUGGCAAGCGUUGUCCGGAAUUAUUGGGCGUAAAGGGCUCGCAGGCGGUUUCUUAAGUCUGAUGUGAAAGCCCCCGGCUCCCCCGGGGAGGGUCAUUGGAAACUGGGAAACUUGAGUGCAGAAGAGGAGAGUGGAAUUCCACGUGUAGCGGUGAAAUGCGUAGAGAUGUGGAGGAACACCAGUGGCGAAGGCGACUCUCUGGUCUGUAACUGACGCUGAGGAGCGAAAGCGUGGGGAGCGAACAGGAUUAGAUACCCUGGUAGUCCACGCCGUAAACGAUGAGUGCUAAGUGUUAGGGGGUUUCCGCCCCUUAGUGCUGCAGCUAACGCAUUAAGCACUCCGCCUGGGGAGUACGGUCGCAAGACUGAAACUCAAAGGAAUUGACGGGGGCCCGCACAAGCGGUGGAGCAUGUGGUUUAAUUUGAAGCAACGCGAAGAACCUUACCAGGUCUUGACAUCCUCUGACAACCCUAGAGAUAGGGCUUUCCCUUCGGGGACAGAGUGACAGGUGGUGCAUGGUUGUCGUCAGCUCGUGUCGUGAGAUGUUGGGUUAAGUCCCGCAACGAGCGCAACCCUUGAUCUUAGUUGCCAGCAUUCAGUUGGGCACUCUAAGGUGACUGCCGGUGACAAACCGGAGGAAGGUGGGGAUGACGUCAAAUCAUCAUGCCCCUUAUGACCUGGGCUACACACGUGCUACAAUGGACAGAACAAAGGGCUGCGAGACCGCAAGGUUUAGCCAAUCCCAUAAAUCUGUUCUCAGUUCGGAUCGCAGUCUGCAACUCGACUGCGUGAAGCUGGAAUCGCUAGUAAUCGCGGAUCAGCAUGCCGCGGUGAAUACGUUCCCGGGCCUUGUACACACCGCCCGUCACACCACGAGAGUUUGCAACACCCGAAGUCGGUGAGGUAACCUUUAUGGAGCCAGCCGCCC
rnacentral:rRNA from 1 species